CGCGAUAACGAACGAGACCUCGACCUGCUAAAUAGUUUGGCGAAUUCUUCGGGAUUCGUUUACGACUUCUUAGAGGGACUAUCGGUGAUUUAGCCGAUGGAAGUUCGAGGCAAUAACAGGUCUGUGAUGCCCUUAGAUGUCCUGGGCCGCACGCGCGCUACACUGAUACGUUCAUCGAGUUUACAACCUUGGCUGAGAGGCCUGGGUAAUCUUUUUAAACCGUAUCGUGCUGGGGAUAGAUUAUUGUAAUUUUUAAUCUUCAACGAGGAAUUCCUAGUAAACGCUGGUCAUCAACCAGCAUUGAUUACGUCCCUGCCCUUUGUACACACCGCCCGUCGCUAGUACCGAUUGAAUGGUUA
rnacentral:rRNA from 1 species